rnacentral:rRNA from 1 species
AUUGCCUUAGUAACGGCGAGUGAAGCGGCAAUAGCUCAAAUUUGAAAGCUGGCCCUUUCAGGGUCCGCGUUGUAAUUUGUAGAGGAUGAUUCGGCGAGGGCUCCCGCCUAAGUCCCCUGGAACGGGGCGUCAUAGAGGGUGAGAAUCCCGUAUGUGGUGGGCUGCCUUAGCCAUGUGAAUCUCCUUCGACGAGUCGAGUUGUUUGGGAAUGCAGCUCUAAAUGGGAGGUAAAUUUCUUCUAAAGCUAAAUACCGGCCAGAGACCGAUAGCGCACAAGUAGAGUGAUCGAAAGAUGAAAAGCACUUUGGAAAGAGAGUUAAAAAGUACGUGAAAUUGUUGAAAGGGAAGCGCUUGCAACCAGACUUGUCCGCAGUUGCUCAGCCGGUCUCCUGACCGGCGUACUCUUCUGCGGCCAGGCCAGCAUCAGUUCGGGCGGUCGGAUAAAGACCUCGGGAAUGUAGCUCCUCUCGGGGAGUGUUAUAGCCCGGGGUGGAAUGCGGCCAGCCUGGACUGAGGAUCUCGCUUCGGCAAGGAUGCUGGCGUAAUGGUUGUAAGCGGCCCGUCUUGAAACACGGACCAAGGAGUCUAACAUCUAUGCGAGUGUUUGGGUGUCAAACCCAUACGCGUAAUGAAAGUGAACGGAGGUGGGAACCCGCAAGGGUGCACCAUCGGCCGAUCCUGAUGUCUUCG